GACGAACGCUGGCGGCGUGCUUAACACAUGCAAGUCGAGCGGUAAGGCCCUUUCGGGGGUACACGAGCGGCGAACGGGUGAGUAACACGUGGGUGACCUGCCCUCAGCUCUGGGAUAAGCCUGGGAAACCGGGUCUAAUACCGGAUAUGACUCCAUGACGCAUGUUGUGGGGUGGAAAGCCUUGUGCGGCUGAGGAUGGGCCCGCGGCCUAUCAGCUUGUUGGUGGGGUGAUGGCCUACCAAGGCGACGACGGGUAGCCGGCCUGAGAGGGCGACCGGCCACACUGGGACUGAGACACGGCCCAGACUCCUACGGGAGGCAGCAGGUGGGGAAUCUUGCGCAAUGGGCGAAAGCCUGACGCAGCGACGCCGCGUGAGGGAUGACGGCCUGGUGUAAC
rnacentral:rRNA from 1 species